CGUCACUGUCCGCCAGGGCAGCCGGAGCCGGGGACCCACCGAGACUUGGGGUGAAUCGGCCCACUCUUCGGAGAGGCCGUAGGGCAACCCUUCCACCCGCCCGAACCCGACAGCUAACCCGGUAGGCGGAGCACCGGAAGGAGUC
rnacentral:sRNA from 2 species